UUUUGUGCAACCUUUAUUCUUCGUUAUAUCAAAAGCUCAGUCCACUUAUAAUACUCUUUGUUUGAAAAACACAUUUUACCUCAUUUCUCAAAACAAAUAAAAUCAAAUUCCAGAAGACAGAGCGGGCUGAGCUGUUACGAAGAUGAAUUGGUGUUUAUCUCCAAAGUGAGCUCCAAAUAAGAUGAAUUGAUGCUUUCUCUACAGAGCGGGCUCUCCGUGGCUUGUACUUUCUCUGGUUCUUGCCUUUUUUUUUUGUAAGUUUUUUCAAUUCAAAUUUAUUUCUCCUUCUUUCUAGAUUUAGUUUUUAUUUUUGAAAUGUGAACAAGCUUAUUGUUGGAAUUGUAAAGACCCAAGCUAAAUUGAUUCUUACAAUUUAAUAGAGAAAAAAAAUUGGUGCCUAAUUCACCUCCUCUCUUUGUUCUCAUUUGCUACAGGAUCCAUUGCUUCUUCAUUUACACCACACAGGUGAGAGAACUUAACUAAUAUUUUUUUAAUUUAUCCUCGUUAUUUUCCUUUGCUUUCUAAUUACUGUUGUAUUUUAAGUUCAUGCAUUGAUGAUAUUUCGGCUAGAUCUAGCUCUAUUUUCAUCGAUGAUUGUUAGCUUAUCUAGAGUAAAUUUUAUGUUUAAGUAAUUUCUGUGAAUGAUUUUAUUUGUCUACAAUUGGAUUGCUGAGCUGUAGUAUAUUUAGAGUGAAUUUUGGUUGUUGAAUUCUAUUUGAGUAGCUUUUGUGAUUGUAUAUUUAAGUAGCUUCUGUGACUAAUUCUACUUGCCCACCGAAUUUUGAAUUAGAUGAGUUGUUUUAUUGAGCCGUUGUUUAUCUAGUGUGAUGCUGGUAGUUGAAUUUUGUUUGAUCAGCUUUUGUGAGUGAUUCUAUUUGCUUACUGAAUUCUGAAUUGGAUAUAUUGGAUUGACUAAAUUGAAGAUUAUAUAAAGAAAAAAUGUUGUGCAUUGAAGAAGAAACUGCUGCUCUGUUCUUUAGUGGAUGUAGGCUGUCUCCAGCCGAACCACUUAUAUUUGUUGUUCUUUGAUUACUGUUUCUGGGUGAUUCUUUUGUGUGAAUUCGUUUGGCCAUAUUUCUAGAUUGUGAUUAGAGAGUUUAGUUAGGUCCUGAUGAUUGUUGAUUGGAUAUUAAAUCUGAUCUUGUUUCAACAAUAUGUGGUCUAUAGUCAUUAAAUUAUCAAAAAGAUCAUUGGUGAUAUUAAAGAGAAUAACGAUGGUUUCAUACUGUUCCCUCAACUAUUUUCUGCAUUGAAGUGAGAAUUAAAUUCGAAUUUUAACAUUAUUAGUUAGGAAUAUGCAUUGUGGGAAGACAACAUUUGAGGGAAAUUUUUUUCAUUUUUGUCUACAGUAGGUAAUGGUUUCUCAACAUUCUACCACCACCACCUUGUUUCUAUCUUGGGUGGUGGUGAUUGUGACUUUAAUGUCCAUUGGCAUAUUGGCUAGUGCCAUUUAUUGAGCGUGGCCAUUACUAUGACAGCUAAUUGUGCUUGCUCAUUUCAUUUACACCUGGUUGAUUUUUCUUCUAAUUGCAUAACUUCAUGUAACAUUAGCUUUUAGUCCACCAUGAGCUCGGUUCACUCGUUUUCUGCUCAAAAAUAAUGUUGGACCUUUUUCUUUUAAUUUUAGUUCCAAUAUGUGAAGCCUCCAUAUCAUAAUUUCUCAAUUCCUUGAGAGCUUUCUUGAAUCGGUUCAGCUACUUGAGUUUCCAAUUCUUGCACCCUUGAAAAUUACUGGGAAAUCACCAAACAAGUCAACAAAGUGUAAAUGAAAUGAGAAAACACACUGGAAUGUUAUUGAUCAAGAACUUCAUUUAUUUGAUCCAACGGCUAAGAAGAAUUUUGUAAAAUUCUUUUCUAUAUAUCCUCAAAUCUUGUAGUGUUAAUGAUCAUUCAUCAAUACCAUCCAAUUUUCUCCGUUAUAAGUUCUUUAAAACCCAUCCUUGUCCGUGUUGCAGCCGCUUCAUCUGUUGUUGUUCAGCAACGAUCACUCUUAUCCGCUUCAUCUGUUAUUAAACAACUUUUUAAAAUGCAGGCAUAUUGGGAAAUAGUUUUAUCACCUUACGAGUAUGAGGGUGAGCAAAUGUUUCCCAUUGUAUUUACUGAUUCAAUCUUCGACAAAGAGAUUGAGAAAUGUGAUGAGAAUAAUUGGAAAAAAAAAAAAAAACUAAGCUUAUAACCAGCUUAACAGAACAAUAUUUAUCCUCGGAUUAAUAUUGUCAUAUUAAAUUUUUUGUCUAAGGGUAGCUUGCAAAAAUCAGUGCAACUUAUCUUCUAAAACGCAUAUAUUAUUAUGCAUAUCAGCCUAUUUUUGAUAAUUAAGAAAUGAAAAAUUAAAAAUGGACUACUUCAGACAUAUCAACAUUUAUGUUGUUUAAAUUUAUGAUGGAUGUGGAUUUCUACUGAAAUGGGAUACUUGUACACUGUCAAAUCGCAAAAAAAUAAGUCUCAGUAGGUCUGUUGACAGACUUCGGUAAAUCUAAUCAACUGUAAUAUGAUUUCGGUCCACAUAGCUUCAUAAUAAUAGAAAAUAAUUAGAUAUCUGGUAUUUGUAAGUUGUAACUCAAUCCUAGUAGAUAGUUUAUUAGUAAAACUGGUUCGUAAAAGACUCCUUCAAAAGCAUGCUUUGAAAAUUUUGGACUCACUCCCCAAAAGCCUCUCUCUCAGAACCAAAUCAUUCAGGCCUCUGGCCAAUUAAAAGAGAUUUUAAAAAAUCAGUCGAAGUCACUUCUGACAAGACACCAGACAAGAGCGGCAGAUCAAAAUAAAAAAAUUACAAAUCAAUAAACUAAGAAAAAGCAACCACUAGAAAACAGUUCGUUAAUUGGAAAUUUAGGUGGCAACAUCACAAACAGAUUGAAACAACUAGUAUGAACUGAAAUCACUUGGCACCCACACUAAAAAUACAGGGUUUUUAAACAGGGAAGAAACGCAUUUUGAGUGGCCUGAUCACCCCAUUGAAGAUUAUUCCACCACCAUUCUUGUCCCUUGAUAAUAAGUUUACGUUCCAGUCCGCUGGUGCAAUCAAAUGGAAGCUUCUUAAGCUCUGGGCAUAAAUCUACCUUCAGUUCCUUCAAAUGAGGGAAGGGCAAGGCCCUUGGGUAGAUGCUCCUCAAUUUUUCUAAUCCGUAUAGGCUAAGACAUUCAAGCCUUGCAAACGGGAUUCGAUUUUGUAUCUGCCCACCCAGUUUUUCAAGGCUGACUAUUUCUUCCAAAUAAUGGCAGUCAUGCAUCGAAAUACGCUUGAGAUUUGGAGCAAGAAUAAGCCAUGUCACGUGCCUCAAUUUGGAUCGCCCUAUUGAAACUCUUUGGAGACUAAAGAACCCAUUAGUUUUUAGGAUUCUUUUCACUUCCUCUCCUGCAUAGUCAAUCUCCAUUUCUUCCAAAUCUUUACAACUCGUCACGUCUAGUGCUUCGAGAUGCCUCAAACUUGCUAAAGUGAAAACACUGAGAGAUGAUAAACUGUGACAGUUUGUAAGGCUUAGAGAUUGAGUAUUGCUAACGACACUCUGUAAACUGGAUGCCAGCAAUCUUUGAAGAGCUGCAAAACUUUGUAAGGUGAUGGUCAGCACAUUUAAAUGUUUCAAACUAAGCAAUUCCUCCACCAAAGCUAAACUGCCCCCAAACAGAAUGCUAUCUGAUUCUUGUUCAUCAGAACCACAUCGGAACAUUCUCAAUGCUUCCAACAUCUUUAGAUUCGAUAUCACUUGUCUCGGAAUUUUAGAGAUUCCAUACGUAGACUCCAAGUUAAAACAUUUGAGAUUAACCAGGUACUUCAACUCUACUGGCAAUCCUUCUAUAUCGGUCUCCGAUAGAUCAAGAUAUUGAAGUGAAACCAAGUUUGAAAUUCCUACAGGAAAAUGCAGUAGCGAGAUGUUGUGUGACAGCUUUAAAACUCUAAGAGAAGCCAUUGAUUGAAAGAAUUCUUCAUUAGCCAUGGAUAUAUAAUUCGAACUAAGAAACAAAGUCAGGAGAUGAGGAGAUGCAGGAGACUCCGGAAGUCUCCAAAUUUUGUUUUGCAUCAGUGACAUCCUUGUAACCUCUUGCCACAAUUCAGAUCUUGGUGUUUCAGUUAACCCUACACCUGCAAGAACUAAAUACCUGUCGUUCUGCUUCUCAGUGGUAGAUGCAAUCCACAAAGCCAUGUCACGGACCACGUCAUGCAUUUUUAUAUGAUUAUCAUCUUCUUCUUCCAACAGACAUGCAUAAAGAAGACUACGAAUGAGAGAGUAACCUUGAUUUCGAGCCGCGGAAAGUCGUCUUUUAUUUUCUACACCGUUACGAACCCUCUGCUGUACGGCCAAGGCAUUGCUGGGCAAAAAAUCAUAGCUGAACUUUAAACGGGAAAAGACCCUUUUCUCCAUACCUGAAAACUUAGACGCUGAGCUCCUUAGCACCUCAAUUGCAUGUUCCCACUCUCGAGGGGCCUUCUUAGAAGACAUGGCUCGGCCGACAGUGAUUAGAGCAAGUGGCAAACCACCACACUCUCUGGCCACAGUUUCUGCUAGCUCAGGAAUAUCCGAUGACUAUCUAGAAUAUUUCUUCCCACUUUCUCCUCAAAUAAUCCCCAGGCAUCUUCAUAUCCCAGACACUCCACUUUAAAGGAUUUGUGAGCAUCCAUUUGGCCGCAAACUUCAAACUCGCGCGUUGUGAAAACUACCUUGGACGCACUUGUACGGCUUGGAACAGGUAAACCCACUUGGGCUAAAUCAACUAGCUCCCAUAUGUCAUCCAAUAAUAACACAAACUCCGUGUUCCUCAUGGUCUUGAAUAUUUCCUGAGAUUUUUCGUCAAAGCUUUUGCUAUCCCAUGACUCGUUACACAAACCAAUCUUUUUCGCAAUACUUUCUUGUAUCUUUUCAAGCUGCAAGUUUCUGGACACCACUUCCCAAAUAACAAAAUCGAAAUUAUUGGGCGUGUGAAGGAAGCUGUUGUUGAUUUGCGUCAACAGGGUGGUUUUACCCACCCCUCCCAUACCGUACAGGCCAACAAUUCCCACAGAUUCUUCCGUGAGGCAUCUCCAAACUCCGUCUAAAGUUGAUUGCAUGCCCAUUACUGUCGGUGGCAGAGGUCUUUCAUCAACUGGGUUUUCUGGUACCGUUUGAGCCACGUCUUUGAAAUCCCCUUCCUUUCUUAAGCUCUGCACAUUUUUCAAUGACUCGACAACUCUUUUCCCGUACUUGUAGCUUUCGAUGCAGUUCCCAGAACAGAAGCCACCGAGAAUUUCCUCCUCUUUUCCAAUGAUUUCUGCCAACAGUCUUGGAACUUCUUUUUCCACAUCUUGCACUCUCGAAAGCCACCCGUGCACUUGCUGCAGCCGUCUCAUUUGCCUUUGUUCGGCUACGGUGACCCUUAUCUGCACAUCAUUUCUUGCUUCAAUCAACUUUUGAAAUUCCGUCUGCAAGACAUCACAAUUGUCUUUCAAAUGACAGAUAUACCCUGCUUGGCUAACAAUGCAAUCUAGGCAAUGAGAAAUGGUGUCGUUACAUGAGAAUGAAGCUGAGCAAACGUUUCCCAUAGUUUGUAUAGAAUUCAUUAUUCAACUAUUUACGAAAUGAAGAAAUGUGAUGAGAAUGUAUGAGCACUACAAUGUUAGUUAAUUAACUUGGUUUUACAAUUGAUGAGCUUAUGUUGAAAAGUCAUGCACGUGAUAUUGAAAUUCAAAAAUGCAUGCAAAAUUUCAAAUGGCUACCAAACAUUUGAAGAAAAAAUGGAAAGUUGGUAAAUUUGUCAAAUUUUCCAAAUGGACACCAUUGACUAUUGGCUUAGGUCAGGUGGAAUAAUAAAUGAGUUGGUGCAAUAGUGCCAUUAUUUUCCCUAUAAAUAGAUGCCACUUCUUCCAUUCUUAAGCAUCCCAAAAUUGUUAAGCUUAUAAGUUUCUAAGCUUUUGAGAGAAGUGAGAGAAGUGUGUCUGGGGAAUUUAUCUUUCCUACAGAGUGUGAGAAUACUGUGUAUAUUUGGGUUUCUGGGAGUGAGAUUCGUUACUCAAAUAUUGUAUUCUAUUAAUUGUUGAAUAAACAAUUAUUCUUUCUUGCCUCCGUGGAUGUAGGUUUAAUUACCGAACCACGUAAUUUUUGUGUCCGUUAUUUUUCAGUAAUUAUUUGGUGCGCUUGAUUCCGCAUUCCGCGCACAACAGCUUAUUCUUUUUAUAGGAUAAAGGGACUAAGCUAAUGUGGGAAUCUUAGAAAUUUCUCUACCAGACAGAUGAUAUUAAUUCAAUUAUAUGUUUCUACUAGGAAAGUGAAUAUUUUAGUCUCAGAAGGUACCAUCACUGGGUGAUAGGUUUCCUGGAAAAAGACUUGGACUUUUUGUAUGAUUGUUUGAGCCAAUUAUAUUGAAGGACGUAAUGUUUUUUUCAACUAAUGCAAACAAAUCUUCGAAAUCUUUACGGUGAUUAACUUUGAAAAUAUACAUUUUUGCAGACUGAGUGUUUUUUCGUGGAAGUUGCAAGAACAAUUUCGUGCCAUCUUCAUAGACAAUGGUAGGUAGAAGAGUGGAUAAAAUUCAAAUCAAAUUUUUAACUCUCCAUCUCUUAAGAUUAACUCAAGUGGCCAUGACUGAUUAAAUAAAAUUACUUGAAAACUACAUGAUUGGACUCUUGAAAAUAAGAUUAGUUUAUUUUUAAUAAAGAAGGGUAGUAAUUUGAUCAUUUACCUAUCUAGGUAUAAUAGAUCAAGCUUUUUUUUUUCUUUUUUCAGGAGAGUGUAGCUUAUUCCUAAUUAAUAUAAUGGAAAGUUGAUGUUUUCACGUAUAUAAACCAAUUUCUCUAAAAGAAAUAGAUCAUAAAUUUUAAUUUUUCACCCAAAUGUUAUUCUGAAUUUGCAAACUCUAGUUUAUCUCAAAAGUCCUGUCUUCUUAACAAAAACUUAU
rnacentral:lncRNA from 1 species